GGACUACCCGGGUAUCUAAUCCUGUUUGAUCCCCACACUUUCGUGCAUCAGCGUCAGUUACAGUCUAGUAAGCUGCCUUCGCUAUCGGUGUUCUUGACGAUAUCUAAGCAUUUCACCGCUACACCGUCAAUUCCGCCUACCUCGUCUGUACUCAAGUUCUGCAGUAUCAAUGGCACAUCGACAGUUGAGCUGCCGGAUUUCACCACUGACUUAUAGAACCGCCUACGCACCCUUUAAACCCAAUAAAUCCGGACAACGCUUGCCACCUACGUAUUACCGCGGCUGCUGGCAC
rnacentral:rRNA from 1 species